CACUAGGUGCCAUUAGGCACCACAUCAGUGGAACAUUAAAUAAACG
rfam:Nelumbo nucifera unplaced genomic scaffold scaffold00006, whole genome shotgun sequence